rnacentral:lncRNA from 1 species
UGGUUUUUCAUGAAGAUGUCUUUCCCUUUGCCUCUUCAGGGAACAACUCUUCUGUAUCUUCUCCUAUUCUUUAUCCAUCUCCUAUUUACUUUCCUCCUACUGAUGAUUCCCUACUCAUUCCUUCUUCUUCAACCUCUUCCACAUCUGCACCUCCUCUUUCUCCCUCUUCAACCUCCCCUUCUUUGCACCAUCCUCUUCCUGCAGCUACUACACCUGCUCCUAGAAGGUCCAGCAGGACUCACAUUCCUCCUGCUCAUCUACAACAGU